UACGGGGGGGGCAAGCGUUGUUCGGAAUUACUGGGCGUAAAGCGUGCGCAGGCGGCUUCGCAAGUCAGACGUGAAAUCCCCGGGCUUAACCUGGGAAUGGCGUUUGAAACUACGGAGCUGGAGUGUGGCAGAGGGAGGUAGAAUUCCACGUGUAGCGGUGAAAUGCGUAGAUAUGUGGGAGGAAUACCGAUGGCGAAGGCAGCCUCCUGGGCCAACACUGACGCUCAUGCACGAAAGCGUGGGGAGCGAACAGG
rnacentral:rRNA from 1 species